AUUCUAAAAGAAACCAUUACAAAAAUAAGGAAAAAUUAAUUUUACAAACUAUGUCAUAUGUUUUCUUUGUUUCCUCAAUAUAACUCUGAUUAGAAUGUCAAACAAAGAUAAAAUCAUCCUUAUUAAUCGUCAAUGUCGUGUAUAUUAUUAAUAUGAGCGUCUUUGCGUUAAAUUCGUGCUACACCACACCAUGCACUUAUAUCGACGUCGCAAUGCAAAAGAAGAAGGGCAAGAAAGAAACCUGUCCUGGUCUGGCGAUUUAAGGGAACAUUUGUUUAAGCCCCUCUGUCUGUUAACUUUUGUUUGAGCCUGUCUAGAUCUUUUAUCAGUCUAGAAAGAUGUUGGAGAAAAGACAUCAUCCUCUUCUAUAAUCUCCAUCUGUAAUUGGACUAACAACUGGACCAGUGAAUGCAGGCAACUUACUCUCCAUUCGACCUUGCAGGUCACACCAUGGUCUCAAGAGGGAAAAUGAGUGCUCUAUGGAUUGAACAGAAAAGGUGAAUCAAAACUCCAACCAUCUGUAUGAGGGUCUGGAUGGAUAAAGGAUGCCCACUGGAGCUGGAAAUGAUGGAUCAGGUGGAUCCACACUUGAACCAUCUGUAUGAUGAUCUGCACCCACUGGAUCUGUAAAUGGUGGUGCAGGUUUCUGAAUUGAUGUCAGAUGCAAAGCAGAAGCUUAUUUUCUGCCAGUUUGGCUUCAUUGUGGAAAAAUGCUUGAAACUAAAAUGCAGAAUUCUGGCCUGGUGUUUGGUCCCCCUUUCUCUGGCUUGUGUCUCCAUCAUCAUUACACUCUUGUCAGUGUAAUAGUAUCGUCGUCUGCGUACCAGGACUUUGUUACUCAGCUGUCCCUUCUCCUUCAAGCUACAUUUUUGUCAAGCUGCAACAAGUUGGAAUACAUAAUUAUUAACGUUUAAUGAUUUUGAUGUAUGAAAUAUGUAACAAAAGCAAAAAAUGUAUAGACAUUCUAUUAAGAAAUUACCUUUUUGUUGUUUGUUUACUGACCUUUCAACCAUAUUGCAUUUAUAAUUGAUCAUCAUACCUUUGGUCUACUGUUAACAGGCUACUGUAGAAAACAAAGUCAAACAAAAAAGAGAGAAAAAAUUAUAAAUGCUGAAUGUGUCUCAUCUUAAA